rnacentral:rRNA from 1 species
AGAGUUUGAUCCUGGCUCAGAACGAACGCUGGCGGCGUGCUUAACACAUGCAAGUCGAACGCGAAAGAAUUCUUCGGAAUUUGAGUAGAGUGGCGCACGGGUGAGUAACGCGUAAGUAAUCUACCCUGGUAUCUGGGAUAACUCACCGAAAGGUGUGCUAAUACCGGAUACGCUGAGUAAUCAGGAAAGGUGGCCUCUUCAUGAAAGCUACUGUACCAGGAGGAGCUUGCGUACCAUUAGCUAGUUGGUAGGGUAAUGGCCUACCAAGGCAACGAUGGUUAGCGGGUCUGAGAGGAUGAUCCGCCACACUGGAACUGAGACACGGUCCAGACUCCUACGGGAGGCAGCAGUGGGGAAUAUUGGGCAAUGGGCGCAAGCCUGACCCAGCAACGCCGCGUGAGGGAAGAAGGCUUUCGGGUUGUAAACCUCUGUCCUUGGUGACGAAAAAAAUGACGGUAGCCAAGGAGGAAGCCCCGGCUAACUACGUGCCAGCAGCCGCGGUAAUA